rnacentral:misc_RNA from 1 species
UGGAUGGGAUACCUGAAUAAGUAGCGAAAUUAGUAGCGGAGCAAAGGGGAUUCGGGGAACUCUUAAACAUGUUCAACGAUAUAAAUAGAACGGGUAAAAUACCAAAAAUUUGAAAGGUGGCUACAAUGGUGGUCUUUCCCAAACCUAGGAAGGAUCCCCUUCUCUUUACUUCGUUUAGGCCUAUUGGUAUUCUGCCGGUGUCGAGCAAGGCGUGGGAACAUACCUUCAAAGCCCUCGUCGAGAGGAACCUGGGACAGGAACCCACCCACGCCGAUCAUUUCGGAUGUAGGAGGAGAAGAGGGUUGUUAACUACAUUGUUGUACCACGCGGUGAUGAAGAAAGGAGGAGACAUAAGAGGAGAUAGGGCAUAUCAUCCAGUCCAGUUUCACGUGCUUAGAAUGUGCCCCGUUCGACCUGAGACAAGCGACAGCCCCUGCAGGCUUAGCUAAUCCAGGGAGCAAGGCACUGGGUGCCUUGUGCGAUGGUUGGGCGUUUUCUCCAACCCCUAUGGUCCUAGAGGGCCCGGGUACUGUACGGAUUCUAUAUCUGAGGAAAGCACCCGUUACCAAAAGACAAUACUAGUCCAGUUUCACAUAGCAGCACAGGCUGUUAG